ACUCCUACGGGAGGGCAGCAGUGGGGAAUAAUUGCACAAUGGGCGCAAGCCUGAUGCAGCCAUGCCGCGUGUGUGAAAGAGGCCUUCGGGUUGUAAAGCACUUUCAGUCGUGAGGAAGGUAGUGUAGUUAAUAGCUGCACUAUUUGACGUUAGCAACAGAAGAAGCACCGGCUAACUCCGUGCCAGCAGCCGCGGUAAUACGGAGGGUGCGAGCGUUAAUCGGAAUUACUGGGCGUAAAGCGCAUGCAGGUGGUUUGUUAAGUCAGAUGUGAAAU
rnacentral:rRNA from 1 species